UGGGCCUACGGGGCGCAGCAGUGGGGGAUAUUGCACAAGGGGGGAAACCCUGAUGCAGCGACGCCGCGUGGGUGAAGAAGCGCCUCGGCGCGUAAAGCCCUGUCAGCAGGGAAGAAAAUGACAGUACCUGAAGAAGAAGCCCCGGCUAACUACGUGCCAGCAGCCGCGGUAAUACGUAGGGGGCAAGCGUUAUCCGGAUUUACUGGGUGUAAAGGGAGCGUAGACGGCAGGGCAAGUCUGGAGUGAAAGGCAGGGGCCCAACCCCUGGACUGCUCUGGAA
rnacentral:rRNA from 1 species